AUUGAACGCUGGCGGCAUGCCUUACACAUGCAAGUCGAACGGCAGCACGGGAGCAAUCCUGGUGGCGAGUGGCGAACGGGUGAGUAAAGUAUCGGAACGUGCCCAGUCGUGGGGGAUAACGUAGCGAAAGUUACGCUAAUAGCGCAUAAGAUCUAUGGAGGAAAGCGGGGGAUCGCAAGACCUCGCGCGAUUGGAGCGGACGAUAUCAGAUUAGGUAGUUGGUGGGGUAAAGGCUCACCAAGCCAACGAUCUGUAGCUGGUCUGAGAGGACGGUCAGCCACACUGGGACUGGUACACGGCCCAGACUCCGACGGGAGGCAGCAGUAGGGAAUAUUGGACAAUGGGCGAAAGCCUGAUCCAGCAAUACCGCGUGAAGGAAGAAGGCCCUUGGGUUGUAAACUUCUGUCAUAGGGGAAAAAGAACGUCGGGUGAACAAUCCGGCGUUUUGAUGGUACCCUAGGAGGAAGCACCGGCUAACUCCGUGCCAGCCGCCGCAGUAA
rnacentral:rRNA from 1 species